rnacentral:tRNA from 1 species
UCCCUGGUGGUCCAGUGGUUAGGACUCUGCGCUUCCAAUGCAGGGGCCCGGGUUCGAUCCCUGGUUAGGGAA